UUUGAGAAACAGAAAACCUAUGAGGAAAAAAGAAAACACCACUUCGGCAAUGCCGUCGUUUAAGACUCUCCUUAUUCCCUUCUCCUCUCUAAUUCUCCCUUGAUUAACAUUUUUCCUUUUGCCUCCUCAAUCACUCCUUUGUCCCUGUACUUUCCUUAAUUAUUAACCACUGACUAUUCUCCCAAACUCCAUUACUAUAUGGGAAUUCAAGUCUGCAAGUUUUCGGUGUUUCUGGGGUUUGGAAUUGCAGGCACAGAAAUAGCAAACAAGAACUUUGAAUGUGGAUAUUUUCCUCUGCCCUGUAUUCUUCUUUCAUCCUCUCCGCUCUAGGGUUUGCUAAUGACUUUAAAAGGUGGACAUAGAUUUACAAGCCCAAUUAGACUUGGGAGAAACAUAUUUGGCAAAGCUAUAUUUAUGAUACUCUUUAGUUGCUGCCUACCAAGGUUCAAGUUAGAGUGUUUUCAUUGACCAUGACACUAUAAGCUUUUGACCUUCCAAGAAAGUUCAUGAACAAGCUAUGGAUCAGAAUAGUAGGGACGUAAUCAUGCGCGAGUUUCACUCUAAAUUCCUCUGUCCCCUUAUCACAACUUAUUUGUUGGCUCGUGGUUUCGAAGAAAAUGAGUUGCAAUCAACUUUGUAAUGUAGGCGAGAUCGUCUAUUGUGGCUUCACCGCAGCGAAGAAAACUGGAUUAUUGAUACAGGUGUUAGAAAUCCUCAAAAGGCUCAUCAUUGAAGAUCAUUAAUUUCCAGCUAUUUGAACAUGCCUCCUAAACGUACAGUCAGUUAGAGAAAUGCUAUCGAGAAACGCUAUCAAUACUGAGGUUCUACAAUUAGAGAUGCCUCCACCAUGAACCAAGGGAUGACCUUCAAGGUCUAUUGAGGUACCCCAAAUACCUACUAUUCAGACCACUCCUACUUCAUAGGUAGAAUUCAGAUGAGCUAUUGCCAUGCCCACUCAACUGGUAGCUGCCCACGUAGGUAACCAUAGUUCACCAACUCCUAGCUCUAGCUCUCAAGAGUGGUCUUCCACCAUAAGGAUUAGAGAUUUUCUGAGGAUGAACCUUCUAGUCUUCAUGGGUUCUAAGGUUGAGGAGGAUCCUCAAAAUUUCAUUGAUGAGAUGUGGAAGAUCUUAAAAGUGAUGCAUACUACCGAGCUUGAGGGUAUUGAGUUGGUUUUCUACCAGCUCAAGGAUAUGGCGAACGUGUGGUAUGACCAGUGGGAGAAGAGUCGCAGCAAGGAUACUAUACCUGUAAUUUGGGAUGAGUUUGAAAGUGCUUUCCUUGAUCACUUCUUUCCCCAAGAGCUACGGGAAGAAAAAGUUGAGAAGUUUGUGAACCUCAAGAAGGAGAGCAUGACUAUAAAGGAGUAUAGAUUGAAAUUUAUUCAGUUGUCUAAACAUGCCCCAGAAAUGAUUCCUCAUAUGAGGUCUAAGAUAAGAAAGUUUUGUCUUUGGCCUAGGCAAACAUGUAAAGAAAUAAUGUAAGAAAAUGUUAAUGAUUUCUGACAUGGAUUUUUCUAGAUUGAUGGUGUAUUCUUAGUAGGUUGAGGAUGACAAGAAAAAGGACUGAGAGGAAAACUUAAGUAAGAAGGCUAAGUUUGCUGGGCAUGAGAACGAGCAGAAGCAAGGGAAGGGUAAAAAGUCCAUCUUUAAAAAGAGAUCUUUUAAUUAUGCACCUUCUUCAAUAAGUGUUUUUACACCUAAUCAUAGGUCGCUGAGUAACCAGAACUUUCGAGCUUAGGGUUUUCAGUCCUAAUUAAGUGUGGCUCAAUGUUCUAGAGGAAAGCCAUCGCGUGCUAGAUAUUAGAAGCUUUAUUUGGGAGAGUGUCGUGUGGGCACCAAUGCUUGCUACAAAUGUGGAAAGACAGGUCACUUCCAAAAUGAGUGUCCUUCAAAGAGACAAGGAGAUGGAGGUAGUAGAGUUCAGUUUCCUUCUACAACACCGCAGAAUAAAGGUAAUCAGAGAGGUGCAGCUUCAGGUGCAGAUAGGGGAACAAACCGUCUGUAUGCUAUGGGUAGUCAUCAUGACCAAGAGAAUACACCCAAUGUUGUUACUUGUAUGAUUUGAGUCUUUUCUUUUGAUGUGUAUGCAUUACUUGAUCCGGGUGCUACAUUAUCUUUUGUAACUCCUUACUUGGCUAGUAAAUUUGAGGUCCUUCCUAAGUGUCUUCUUGAGCCUUUCAGUGUGUCUACUACUGUUGGUGAGUCUAUCUUGAGGCAGUUAAGAACUGGCCUAGAUCCAUCUCUCCAAUCAACAUAAAGAGUUUCUUAGGUUUGGCUGGUUACUAUAGGAGGUUUGUUGAAGGAAUUUCAUCUAUAUCCUCACUAUUGACUCAACGGACUCAGGAAAAGGCUAAGUUUCAAUAGUGUGAUGCUUGUGAGAAAAGCUUUCAAGAGUUGAAAGCUAGAUUGACUACUGCUCCAGUAUUCUCCCUACCCAAGGGAAUGGAUGGUUUUGUAAUCUAUUAUGAUGCUUCUAUAGUUAGGUUGGGAUGUGUAUUGAUGUAGAAAGGAAAGGUCACUACCUAUGCCUCCAGAAAGCUUAAGAGUCAUGAGAGAAACUACCUCACUCAUGACCUUGUGUUGACAGCUAUGGUAGUUGCUCUUAAGAUUUGGUGUCACUAUCUUUAUAGUGUACAUAUGAAUGUAUUCACAGACUACAAGAACUUGCAGUAUGUAUUCAGUCAUAAGGAUCUGAACUUAAGACAGAAAAGAUGGCUAGAGUUGCUCAAGGAUUAUGACAUGAGUAUUAUCUACCACCUAGGUAAAGUAAACGUAGUUCCCGAUGCUUUUAGCAGGUUAUCCAUGGGGAGUACGGCCCAUGUGAAAGAUGAAAAGAAGGAGUUGGCAAAGAAAGUGCAUAGACUUGCAUAUUUGGGAGUUCAACUUAUUGACUCUAAUGAGGGUGAUAAAAUAGUCUGGAAUGGAGCUGAAUCAUCUCUAGUUGCAGAGGUGAAAGGAAAGCAAAAUCAGGACCCCAUACUCUUUCAACGGAAAGAUGAGAUUCACAAGCAAAAGGUAAUGGCUUGUGCCAAAGGGGGAGAUAGAGUGUUGAGAUAUCAAUAGAGAUUAUGUGUUCCGUGUUGAUGGCAUUUGGGAGAGAAUCAUGGUAGAAACCCAUAAUUACAAAUAUUUCAUCCAUCUAGGUUGGACAAAGAUGUACCGUGACUUGAGAGAAGUAUAAUGGUAGAGUGGAAUAAAGAGGAAUAUAGCAGAGUUUGUGUGCAAGUGCCCAAAUUGCCAACAAGUUAAAGUUGAGCACCAAAGGCCUUAUGUAGUGGUUUAAAAUAUAGAGAUCCCAGAAUGGAAGUGGGAGAUGAUCAACAUAGACUUCAUUAUCAAUUUAUCGCAAACCCGCAAACAGUAUGACUCUAUUUGGGUAAUUGUGGAUAGGAUGACCAAAUCGGCCCAUUUCUUACCGGUUAAGACCACGAACACUGCAAAGAAUUAUGCCAAACUGUAUCUUAGAGAGAUUGUUAGACUACGUAGAGUUUCUUUGUCUAUCAUAUCAGAUAGGGGAGCUCAAUUUACUACUUGGUUUUGGAAGUCAUUUCAAAAGGGUUUGGGUUCAAGAGUGAACCUUAGUAUUGCUUUUCAUCUGCAGAUAGACAACCAGAUAGAGCGUAUGAUACAAACUUUAGAGGAUAUGUUGAGAUCCUGUGUCAUCGACUUCAAAGGUAAUUGAGAUGAUCAUUUACCUUUUAUUGAGUUUGCAUACAAUAAUAGCUUUCGAGUACUCAAAUGGCUCUUUAUAAAGCUCUGUAUGGGAGGAAAUGUAGAUCACUAAUUAGUUGAUUCAAAGUUGGUGAAGCUGAGUUGAUUAGACCGGAUUUGGUUCACCAAGCUAUGGAGAAGGUGAAAACCAUCCAAGAGAGGUUGAGGAUUGCUCAGAGUCGCUAAAAAUCCUACACUGAUACUAGGAGGAGAGAUUUGGAGUUCAAAGUAUAUGAUUGGGUAUACUUGAAAAUUUCACCCAUGAAGGGUGUGAUAAUAUUUGGAAAGAAAGGGAAGCUUAGUCCCCGCUAUAUUGGUCCUUAUCAGAUUGUGAAGAGGGUUGGUAACAUAGCCUAUGAAUUAGAGUUGCCCCUAAAAUUAGCAGUUAUUCAUCCUGUGUUUCAUAUCUCUAUGCUUAAGAAGUGUUUGGCAGACCCUUCACUUGUUCUCUCGACUGAGAACAUUGGGGUGAAGGAGAGUUUGAAUUAAGAAGAGAUUUCAUUCUAGAUUCUAGAUCGUCAAGUUCGCAAAUUAAGAACUAAGGAAGUGACAUCUGUCAAAAUCCUAUGGCGAAAUCAAUUUGUUGAAGAGGCUACACGGGAAGCUGAAGAAGAUAUGAAGGCUAAAUAUCCUCAUCUAUUCGUGCCUUUCGAGGAUGAUGUUCAAGAUACAGAUGUUAGAGAUCCUCAACAGGCGCAUCAUUGAAGAUCAUUACUUUCCAUCUAUUUGAUGAAUCCUUCUUAUAUUCGGAGGAGCUCUUUAUCCUUUUAUUAUUGUUGAAUAUUAUGUUUCUUUUGAGGUAGUCAUGGAUAUAUCAUCGGCACCAUCUGGUAGUGUUAGAGGCUUCGUAGACAAAGUUUGAUUAUGUAAUUUGAGUAGUUCUCCUUUGAAACUACUUCUUCUAAGGAUUAUUUCUUUCCUUUGAUGUUGAUGAUGGCGAGCCCACAUAAGUAUUCUUAUUUUCACUUAAGUCUUUCGCUGAUGAACGAAUGAGUGAUGAGACCAAGUGGUUCUCUCGGAGGUCAGCGAUGGUUUCUGAGAUCGGCCACACCUAGGAUACCCUCCCAGAGUGUAAUAAUUAUAUCUCUAAUUUUGAUCAUAGAAGAGUUGAUGUGACACCUCUCUUUAGAUGAAAAUAUCAUUUAUUUAUUUUUUGAUAUAUAAAAAAAUUAGAGAAAUUUAACUAUCCCCUCUUUAUGUCAUCAUAGAUUGUAAAUUUUAACAAUACUAAUUCCUUAUCUUUCUUUCUUUUGUUUUCUAUUUUAAUUCAAUAGAAUUUUAUACUUUACCAGAUUUAGUAUUUUUAAUGGUUCAAAGUUCAUAGCAAUUGAAUAUUUUCCUUCUUAAAUGAUUGACUAAUUGAUGAGUAUUUAUUUUCACCGUGUAGUGAUGAUAUCUUGGGACAACACAUUACAAUUGUUUGGGAUGCAAUUGCAAAGAGAGUUGAAGAUUAAAUGGAUUGCAGCUCGUGCUAAGAUUUUGGCGAUGACAUUUAACAAUUGAGUACUCUUGGCAUUUUUAUGUUAUGCAUUGGCAAUGUUAGAUUUUAUGAUACAUGUUGAAGCCUUAGUGGAAGACCCCAAAAGGAUUUUUGCUUUCUUGAGCUAUUUUUUCUUAUGGAGUUUCAUGAUAUACCCAAGAGUUCUUUCCUUUAAUAGAAAUUGAACAAAAUUCAAUUGAGCUCAUA